ensembl:lncRNA
CAGAACGCGGAGAACAGCGAGGCUGCAGAAGGAGACGACGAUGAACUUGAAGGCCAUGAAGCUUAGAGCGAAGAUGUUGAUUAAAUUGUACAUUGAAUUGUUUUCACCAACGUACAGGCUUCCUAUGUUUGCAAAGCACAGCAGCCAAACACAUCCGAUGGAGACGUUUCUGACUCUGAUCCACUUCUGGUUCUUCAGGCCCAGGUAGGUGACGGGGUGAACGACGGCCAGGUAGCGCUCCACACAGGUCAGAGUGUGAAACAGCUGCUGGCCCAAAAAGUUCACUGAUAAAAAGCAUACACCCACCGUGACCAUUCCUGUGAGACGGGUGAGGACGCCGCAACAGCAUAAAAGGUUCCCUACGAUAUUCAUCAGCUCGAUGGCGACCAUGUGGAAGGUGAAGACGUCGGAGUGGCUCGCCGCCGUGCCGGAGCGCCGUUGUUUGAGUCCCAGGUAGACGACGUAGACGCAGGGAGGGAGGACCAGCAGGAGGCUGCAGACGGUGAAAGCGAUCAUGCUGGAGGCGCCGGCUGGACUUCUGUAGCAGUUCUGCAGGAAUUCAAUGACAUUGAUGGAGGAAGAGUUGGAAGGAGAAAACGAGGAAGAGGAAUUGACUGACAUGACUGGGGGCAAGAGUCAGGGACAGAGAGGAUAAGAGAGAAAGAUAAGACACAAUCUUAACAAAAGGUCCUUUUAAACGUCCUCAUCUUACGCACUCUUUAAGCUAAACACACUCUUCCAACAGGUAGAUUUAUUGAUCAAAAUCAUCACAACAUGAAGGUAGGUAUCUUCUACAGAAUUACCUUUCACAUUUGUUUUUGAUUGAACAAGAAUAUUAUUGACAGAUAUAACAUUCGUACUUUAAAAUCAGGUAAUGAAGCAUUUAAAAAAAACAAAUGAAGAACAAUAUCUUAUGAAGAGUGUAAACUAACCGCCAUUAUUCGUAACAGAUGUCACUCUAAUGAAUUAAACUGAUCGAAUUUCCACCAUGAAAAUACACCUACUUUCUUUGCAGUUUUUGAUUGUGAUCCUUCUGAUAUUCUGUCCGCUGUGUCUCUGGCCUGUGGACUGGUGGACUGUCGCCGGCUGCAGCGUAAAUGUGCGUCUGUGUGUGAAUGUUUUGCAUAUCACGUAACCCGAGAAUUGCUCCAACAGGGGGAGCUGCUUCUGAACCUCGGCCCUCAGAUUUACAGGUGCUGAUCCGCAUCCCGACUGCUUCACACUGGUCUGUGACCUCCAGUGAGAGUUGGAGAUGCCAUUAGGACCACACCAUCUGCAUAAAGCAGCGAUGAGAACGGUGAAGCCUCCCCCUCAUCCCCCCGACUACGCCCCAAUAUCCAUGUAAACCACAAACCGGACUAGUGACAAGGUGCCGGCCUGGCGAAGGCCGACGCCCACCGGAAACGACUCCGACUGACGGCUUCCUGUCUGUACUGGGUGUGCUGGGAUUGGACGGCCCCUUGGACUGGGUUUGGCAUGUUAGCAUGCUAACACUUACUAGCCUAAAAAAAUCUAGACUUCAUAAGUUUGAUGAAAGCAGCAUUUCAACACAUAUUAAACAGCAUGUUCACUUGGCAGGGCUGUUUAUUCAUUGAUUGGUUAUUCGGCAUAUGAUUCAUCAGAAUUACAUGAAAAUACACUUAAUUUGGAUAACAAACUCUCU